rnacentral:rRNA from 1 species
GAUGAACGCUGGCGGCGUGCCUAACACAUGCAAGUCGAGCGAACGGACGAGAAGCUUGCUUCUCUGAUGUUAGCGGCGGACGGGUGAGUAACACGUGUAUAACCUACCUAUCAGACUGGGAUAAUUUCGGGAAACCGGAGCUAAUACCCGAUAAUAUUUUGAACCGCAUUGUUCAAAAGUGAAAGACGGUCUUUCUGUCACUUCUAGCUGGAUCCGCGCUGCAUUAGCUAGUUGGUAAGGUAACGGCUUACCAAGGCAACGAUGCAUAGCCGACCUGAGAGAGUGAUAGGCCACACGGGAACUGAGACACGGUCCAGACUCCUACGGGAGGCAGCAGUAGGGAAUCUUACGCAAUGGGCGAAAGCCUGACGGAGCAAAGCGGAGUGAGUGAUGAAGGUCUUCGGAGCGUAAAACUCUGUUAUUAGGGAAGAACAUAUGUGUAAGUAACUGUGCACAUAUUGACGGUACCUAAUCAAAAAGCCACGGCUAACUACGUG